ensembl:lncRNA
UAGCUGCUGAUGUUUUCCACGCCCCAUCACUUUCCUUCCUAGGAUCUGGCUGUUUUCCAAAGCCCUGCUGGACCAGAGCACAGUGCAGCUCUUCCUCAAGGCCUCCGAGGCUCGGAGAGGAGGCCGGGUCCUGACCCUGCGGACCCAAGCCCAGCACACAGUGGCCGCCUGGACAGCCCUGCCCCGUCUUCUGACCCUUGUGGGGGUGCUGAAGCAGAAGGAGGUGCUCAGAGAGGGUACUAUCAAGGUCACUGCCGACUCAGCCGUGCUGGGAUUCCUCUUGCGGGACAAGCACGAGAGGGCAGGGAACAGCACCAGCAUGCGCAGUGUGACCUGCAUCCUUGCCCAGAACAGCAGCCAGGCCUUGCCAGGAGAGCUCCGGCUGAGCGGGCGGCUGCAGGCCCAGACGGGGAGCCUCGGGGGCCAGGCCAGCCUCCGUGCUGACACGGCCAGCCUGGCUCUGGUCGGGGUCUGCACCUGGGGCCCUGGGCAUGGCCAGCUCUCUGGCAGCCUGAGUCACAACAUCAGCGCUUUGAGUGAGGCAGGGCUCUCCUCCGAGGCAGGGAUACUCCUGUCACACACCCACGUCACUUCCAACUUCUCAGUGCGCAUGAUGCUGCGAAGUUCCGGGGGUCAGCUGGAUGGGGCCCUUGGCCUGGAGGGCGUGGCCACCAGUGCACCCGGCAGCCAGCUCCGCGCCAGCCUCCACCACACGGUGCCCGGCCUCGGGCGCUGGGGCCUCCCCUUCUCCGUGGAUGGCCGUGGACACUUGCAGAAUCCAGCUGUGCUGGCACUGAACAGCUCCUUCCUGGUGCACACCUUUGGGGCCAGCCUGGUGGCUCAGGUAUCGUCUGGGGACACCUUCGCCCGAGCCCACAUCCACUCAGCCUGCGGCCACCGUGCUCAUCUGGACACUGGCCUCCAGCACGCGUGGCCUCCACUUCAGGCACUGGGAGUCCCCCCCAACAACCACAUCCGAGUGUCCGUGGGGGGAGAUGAACCCGCCCGGGCCCAGCUGGAGGUGGCCCUGGGCCUGUGCACCCUGACCGCCCGUGGGGACUUCAGAUCAGAGGCCAGCGUCACACACAACUGGACCCUGGCCCUGGUGAAUCACUGCCCUCUGCUGGAGGCGACAGGAAUCCCGCGGGCCCUGCGCUCCAAGGGCAGCCUAAGCUGGGGCCCCUGCGAGUUCGACCUGACCACGGACUUCCAUAGUGACCGUGGAGAUGCCCACCUGCAGUUGGCCCGUUCCUGCGGGCCCCAGACCUUGGUCCUGGGGCACCUGGCCCACUCCCUGCCCCUCCUGGGCCGACUGGGCCUGCCACCCCGGAGUGCCAUCAGCCUGACCGUCCAGCCUGGCCCUGCCCCCCACAGCUCCCUGUCCCUCCAGAUGGGGCCGUGCCGGCUGCAGGGUGCCCUGGAGCAGCACACUGAGAACCAGAGCACGUGGAUGCUGGCCACCGAGCCGGGCUGCCCGCUGCUGGAGGUGUGUAGAGCGGGCCCACGAGGUGCCUGGAGAGGAGCUUCCCAUCAGCGUGAGGCCUGAGCCUGGCUGACACCCCCUCCAGGGACUUCCCGAGACCAGCUACUAUUUCCCCAAAGCCCUGUUGGACCCUUGACCCCUCUUAUCUCUCAUCCGUGUUCCCAUUUGACAGAUGAGGAGAUCGAGGCUGGGUGAGAUUAGAGGCACGCAGUGCCAUGGAACUUGACCACAGGCUCAGAAUUUAUGAGUCUGUCUUUUUAGUAAAAUUUUAAGAGCAGGAAGGGAAUGAGAGGAACUCUUCUUAUGACAGUUGGAAACAGUUGCAUCUUGGUUUCAUAACCUGUUAAAAACCACAGGCUGGGUUCUAUAUGAGCCGAGAGACAGUCUGAGGAUUGUCCUGUGAUGUUUGGGGGAAGGGGACCCCGUGACUCAGGAAAGGGGGAAGCUGGAGUCUAGGUCAGCAGACAGGGCUGGUGCCCUCGUCUGAGUGGCACAGGCCCCUGCCCUGUGUCUCCUGAUGGAGCUUCCUGAGCGUAGAGACAGGGUCUGGUCCACUCGGCAUCCCUGAGCGUAGGGCUGGGUGCUGGCAGAUGUUCUGUCUCUGUUAAUCAGGGCGACACAGGAUUGGUCCACAAGAGAGCAGAGCAUCAUGGGAUGAAGCAGGCCUACCCACUAGGACUUUCUACGAUGAUGGAGAUGUUCUUUGCUAUCCAGGGCAGUAGCCACUAGCCACAGGGAGCUACUGAAGGCUUAAGACGAUUUUACUCAUGCUCCAGAGAAACUGAAUUCUUACUUGGGCUUCAUUUUAAUUUAGAUGGAACCAGCCCCAUGUGGUUAGUGACUGUCCUAGUGGACAGCAGAGAGGUGAAGCACAGACUGAAAACAGAUCAGGUUCAAACCUUAGCUCCUCUACUUAUUAGCUAUGUGAUUCUGGGCAAUGACUUCGCCUUGUUGAGCCUCGGUGUUCCCAUCUGUAAAAUGGGGACUAGUAACUACCAAUCUCAGAGUCGUUGGAAUAGCGUGAAAAGAGAACAUUCUGAUGAAGCACUCGGCAUGAGACUGU